rnacentral:rRNA from 1 species
AUUGAACGCUGGCGGCAGGCCUAACACAUGCAAGUCGAACGGUAGCACAGAGAGCUUGCUCUCGGGUGACGAGUGGCGGACGGGUGAGUAAUGUCUGGGAAACUGCCCGAUGGAGGGAGAUAACUACUGGAAACGGUAGCUAAUACCGCAUAACGUCGCAAGACCAAAGUGGGGGACCUUCGGGCCACACACCAUCGGAUGUGCCAAGAUGGGAUUAGCUAGUAGGUGGGGUAAUGGCUCACCUAGGUGACGUUCCCUAGCUGGUCUGAGAGGAUGACCAGCCAAACUGGAACUGAGACACGGUCCAGACUCCUACGGGAGGCAGCAGUGGGGAAUAUUGCACAAUGGGCGCAAGCCUGAUGCAGCCAUGCCGCGUGUAUGAAGAAGGCCUUCGGGUUGUAAAGUACUUUCAGCGGGGAGGAAGGCGGUGAAGUUAAUAGCUUCACCGAUUGACGUUACCCGCAGAAGAAGCACCGGCUAACUCCGUGCCAGCCGCCGCAGUAAGAC